rnacentral:rRNA from 1 species
AUUGAACGCUGGCGGCAUGCCUUACACAUGCAAGUCGAACGGCAGCACGGGAGCAAUCCUGGUGGCGAGUGGCGAACGGGUGAGUAAUGUAUCGGAACGUGCCCAGUCGUGGGGGAUAACGUAGCGAAAGCUACGCUAAUACCGCAUACGAUCUGUGGAUGAAAGCGGGGGACCGUAAGGCCUCGCGCGAUUGGAGCGGCCGAUAUCAGAUUAGGUAGUUGGUGGGGUAAAGGCCUACCAAGCCGACGAUCUGUAGCUGGUCUGAGAGGACGACCAGCCACAAUGGGACUGAGACACGGCGCAGACUCCGACGGGAGGAAGCAGUGGGGAAUUUUGGAGAAGGGGCGCAAGCCGGAUCCAGCAAUGCCGCGGGCAGGAUGAAGGCGUUCGGGUUGGAAACUGCUUUUGUACGGAGCGAAAAGGCUCUCUCUAAUACAGGGGGCUCAUGACGGUACCGUAAGAAUAAGCACCGGCUAACUACGUGCCAGCAGCCGCCGUAA